rnacentral:piRNA from 1 species
UGGCCUUGAGCUUGUUUUGAAGUUGC